AUUGAACGCUGGCGGCAGGCCUAACACAUGCAAGUCGAACGAGUGGCGGACGGGUGAGUAAUGUAUGGGAAACUGCCCGAUGGAGGGGGAUAACUACUGGAAACGGUAGCUAAUACCGCAUAACUUCGGAUGUGCCCAGGUGGGCUUAGCUUGUUGUUGAGGUAACGGCUCACCUAGGCGACGAUCCCUAGCUGGUCUGAGAGGAUGACCAGCAACCCGGGAACGGAGACGCGGCCCAGACUCCGACGGGAGGCAGCAGUGGGGAAUAUUGCACAGUGGGCGCAAGCCUGAUGUAGCCAUGCCGCGUGUAGGAAGAAGGCGUUCGGGUUGGAAAGUACUUUCAGCGUUGAGGCGUUACCCGCAGAAGAAGCACCGGCUAACUCCGUGCCAGCAGCCGCGGUAAUUC
rnacentral:rRNA from 1 species